rnacentral:rRNA from 1 species
CUUUGGGUGUGACUGCGUACCUUUUGUAUAAUGGGUCAGCGACUUAUAUUCUGUAGCAAGGUUAACCGAAUAGGGGAGCCGGAGGGAAACCGAGUCUUAACCGGGCGUUAAGUUGCAGGGUAUAGACCCGAAACCCGGUGAUCUAGCCAUGGGCAGGUUGAAGGUUGGGUAACACUAACUGGAGGACCGAACCGACUAAUGUUGAAAAAUUAGCGGAUGACCUGUGGCUGGGGGUGAAAGGCCAAUCAAACCGGGAGAUAGCUGGUUCUCCCCGAAAGCUAUUUAGGUAGCGCCUCGUGAAUUCAUCUCCGGGGGUAGAGCACUGUUUCGGCUAGGGGGCCAUCCCGGCUUACCAACCCGAUGCAAACUGCGAAUACCGGAGAAUGUUAUCACGGGAGACACACGGCGGGUGCUAACGUCCGUCGUGAAGAGGGAAACAACCCAGACCGCCAGCUAAGGUCCCAAAGUCAUGGUUAAGUGGGAAACGAUGUGGGAAGGCCCAGACAGCCAGGAUGUUGGCUUAGAAGCAGCCAUCAUUUAAAGAAAGCGUAAUAGCUCACUGGUCGAGUCGGCCUGCGCGGAAGAUGUAACGGGGCUAAACCAUGCACCGAAGCUGCGGCAGCGACACUGUGUGUUGUUGGGUAGGGGAGCGUUCUGUAAGCCUGCGAAGGUGGCCUGUGAGGGUUGCUGGAGGUAUCAGAAGUGCGAAUGCUGACAUAAGUAACGAUAAAGCGG